UUCUUCCCAUGGUCCUCCGCCGAUCCUAGCUUUUGUUCGAGUUUUUUUUAAAAUAUAUAUAUAUAUAUAUAUAUAUUUGGAUUCCUACGUCGUCAGCGUGAGGGAACACGGUUGACGAGAUGAGAGAAAUCCACACUGGCAUAUUUGAUCCACGUUAAACGAGGCACUGGUCAAAAAAAAAAAAAAAAAAAAAAAAACUACCAAAUGUCAUCACGAAGAGGUGAAAACAUGCGAAAUCAAAUAAAGAGUGAAAGGUAAUGAACCUGGGGAGUUUUCUCCGUUUACAGCAAAAAGGGGAUUCUUUCUAGGAAAAGCAGAAGGGCUUUUUUAUAUAUAUAAACAUUUUUUACACCCA
rnacentral:sRNA from 1 species